UACGAAGGGGGCUAGCGUUGUUCGGAAUUACUGGGCGUAAAGCGCGCGCAGGCGGUCUUCCAAGUCAGUGGUGAAAGCCCGGAGCUCAACUCCGGAACUGCCAUUGAAACUGUAAGACUUGAGGAUGAGAGAGGUGAGUGGAAUUCCCAGUGUAGAGGUGAAAUUCGUAGAUAUGGGAAGAACACCCGUGGCGAAGGCGGCACUCUGGGACGGUACUGACGCG
rnacentral:rRNA from 1 species